UACGGAGGGGGCUAGCGUUGUUCGGAAUUACUGGGCGUAAAGCGCGCGUAGGCGGCUUUGUAAGUUAGAGGUGAAAGCCCAGGGCUUAACCCUGGAAUUGCCUUUAAGACUGCAUCGCUAGAAUCGUGGAGAGGUGAGUGGAAUUCCGAGUGUAGAGGUGAAAUUCGUAGAUAUUCGGAAGAACACCAGUGGCGAAGGCGGUCUGCUGGGGUCGAACUGACGCUGAGGCGCGACAGCGUGGGGAGCAAACAGG
rnacentral:rRNA from 1 species